rnacentral:lncRNA from 1 species
GCAAUGGUUUGGAUUUGGGCAACAAUUGGGUUGCUUGCACUUGUUCACAUCCUGCAAGCAUGGUGCAAGAACAAGAAGAAGAGGUUACCUCCUGGUCCAAGAGGGUUCCCCAUUUUUGGAAGCCUUCACUUGCUAUCAGGGGAGUUCCCUAACAAGGAUCUUCACCGACUAGCCCAAAAAUAUGGCGACAUCAUGUACUUGCCCUUAGGCCUUAUGCCCACCAUUGUUGUCUCAUCUCCACAAGCUGCCAAGCUGUUCCUGAAAACACACGACCUUGUGUUUGCUAGCAGGCCACCUCAUGAAGGUGCAAAGCACAUCUCUUUUGGGCAGAGGAACUUGAGCUUCGCUGAAUAUGGCCCGUAUUGGCGCGACAUGCGGAAGAUGUGCACCCUUGAGUUGCUCAGCAACCACAAAAUCAACUCUUUUAAGUCCAUGAGGCGAGAAGAGGUUGCUCUCUGUGUUGAGUCUAUUCGAGACGCUGCCUAUAAGGGACGUGUUGCUGUUGAUCUGAGUGACAUUGUCUCAUCUCUCAGCGUGGACAUGAGCUGCCGGAUGGUGCUUGGGAAGAAGUACAGGGAUGAGGAUUUUGAUGCGAGGGGUUUCAGGUC